AGUGAACGCUGGCGGUAGGCCUAACACAUGCAAGUCGAACGGCAGCACAGUAAGAGCUUGCUCUUACGGGUGGCGAGUGGCGGACGGGUGAGGAAUACAUCGGAAUCUACUUUUUCGUGGGGGAUAACGUAGGGAAACUUACGCUAAUACCGCAUACGACCUACGGGUGAAAGCAGGGGAUCUUCGGACCUUGCGCGAUUGAAUGAGCCGAUGUCGGAUUAGCUAGUUGGCGGGGUAAAGGCCCACCAAGGCGACGAUCCGUAGCUGGUCUGAGAGGAUGAUCAGCCACACUGGAACUGAGACCCGGGCCCGACUCCUACGGGAGGCAGCAGUGGGGAAUAUUGGACAAUGGGCGCAAGCCUGAUCCAGCCAUACCGCGUGGGUGAAGAAGGCCUUCGGGUUGUAAAGCCCUUUUGUUGGGAAAGAAAAGCAGCAGGUUAAUACCCCGCUGUUCUGACGGUACCCAAAGAAUAAGCACCGGCUAACUUCGUG
rnacentral:rRNA from 1 species